AUACUCUGGUUUCUCUUCAGAUCGUAUGAAUCUUUCGCCUUUUACUAAAGAUUUUCUUGGAGAGGAACAACUCAGAGAUUUCAAGUAAUUUUUAUUUACUUAUUUUUUCUGAGUUG
rnacentral:snRNA from 1 species